rnacentral:rRNA from 1 species
GACAGAGGGUGCAAACGUUGUUCGGAAUUACUGGGCGUAAAGCGCGUGUAGGCUGCUCGGAAAGUCGGAUGUGAAAGCCCUGGGCUUAACCUAGGAAGUGCAUUCGAAACUUCCGAGCUGGAGUUCUGGAGAGGAGGGCGGAAUUCUCGGUGUAGAGGUGAAAUUCGUAGAUAUUGGGAAGAACACCGAUGGCGAAGGCAGCCAUCUGGACCGACACUGACGCUGAGGCGCGAAAGCGUGGGGAGCAAACAGG